rnacentral:rRNA from 1 species
GACGAACGCUGGCGGCGUGCUUAACACAUGCAAGUCGAACGGUAAGGCCCUUCGGGGUACACGAGUGGCGAACGGGUGAGUAACACGUGGGUGAUCUGCCCUGCACUUCGGGAUAAGCCUGGGAAACUGGGUCUAAUACCGGAUAGGACUCCUGGCUUCAUGGUUGGGGGUGGAAGGCUUUUGCGGUGUGGGAUGGGGCCGCGGCCUAUCAGCUUGUUGGGGGGGCAAUGGCCUACCAAGGGGACGACGGGUAGCGGGCCGGAGAGGGUGACCGGUCACACUGGGGCUGAGAUACGGACGAGACUCCUACGGGAGGCAGCAGUGGGGAAUAUUGCACAAUGGGCGCAAGCCUGAUGCAGCGACGCCGCGUGAGGGAUGACGGCCUUCGGGUUGUAAACCUCUUUCAGCUAUGACGAAGCGCAAGUGACGGUAGUAGCAGAAGAAGGACCGGCCAACUACGUGCCAGCCGCCGCUGUAAAAC